rnacentral:misc_RNA from 1 species
AAAUCCAUUGUGGCCGUCCCAAUAUAUAUACAGUUGGAUUUUUGUUUUUUGCAUCUCUCUGAUUCCCUUUUAUCUCUUCCCCCUUUUCCUCCCUUCUUAUAUAGGGUAUAUACCCCAUAUUAUGCCUACAGCCUAUAUAGCAUAAGCCACCAUAGCUAAAUUUGGUGAAUUUGAUGAUUUGGGUCGGUUAAAAAUCCAAUCUUUAUAAUACCCUUUUGAAAUCUCAGCUCAGAUUUGUAAGAUGGAUACGCAGAAUCUGGAACAUGGACAAGUAAUUGAGGUGAGUGUUGACAUAACAGGUCAAGAGAAGGGGACUAAAAUCUGUGGUUCAGGACCGUGUGGAUUCUCAGAUGUUAACACCAUGUCUAAGGAUGCACAGGAGAGAUCAGCAUCUAUGAGGAAACUGUUCAUUGCGGUUGUCCUAUGCAUCAUUUUUAUGGCUGUCGAGGUUGUCGGAGGUAUUAAAGCCAACAGUCUUGCAAUUUUGACGGAUGCGGCUCAUCUAUUGUCAGAUGUUGCAGCUUUUGCAAUAUCCUUGUUUUCACUCUGGGCAUCAGGAUGGGAGGCUAAUCCACGCCAGUCCUAUGGGUUUUUUAGAAUUGAGAUACUUGGGGCACUAGUUUCUAUCCAAAUGAUAUGGCUUCUAGCUGGGAUCCUUGUUUACGAAGCCAUUGCUCGACUUAUACAUGAUACAGGUGAAGUUCAAGGUUUCCUCAUGUUUGUGGUGUCUGCAUUUGGAUUAGGAGUGAACCUCAUCAUGGCACUCUUGCUAGGUCAUGAUCACGGCCACGGCCACGGCCAUGGACACAGCCACGGUCAUGACCACGGCCAUGAACACAGUCAUAGUCAUGAAGAGCAUGCUCAUAGCCACGGUGAUCAUGAACAUGCCCACGGUGAGCAUAAACAUAUACAUGGAAUUAGUGUUAGCCGACACCAUCACCAUAAUGAGGGACCUUCAAACCGAGAUCAACACAUCCAUGCACACGACGCUGACAACACUGUGCCUCUACUUAAGGAUUCCUGUGAGGGUGAAGGUGAAAAGAAAAAGAAGCAGCGGAAUAUAAAUGUUCAGGGGGCUUAUCUUCAUGUAUUAGGAGAUUCUAUUCAGAGCAUAGGCGUCAUGAUUGGAGGAGCUAUCAUAUGGUAUAAACCAGAAUGGAAAAUCAUUGAUCCCAUCUGCACUCUCAUUUUCUCUGUCAUUGUUCUUGCCACAACCAUUAGGAUGAUUCGGAGUAUUCUUGAAGUAUUAAUGGAGAGCACACCUAGAGAAAUCGACGCAACAAGGCUUGAGAAGGGUCUUUGUGAG